rnacentral:rRNA from 1 species
CAGCCGUAAACUAUGCUCGCUAGGUGUCAGGCAUGGCGCGACCGUGUCUGGUGCCGCAGGGAAGCCGUGAAGCGAGCCACCUGGGAAGUACGGCCGCAAGGCUGAAACUUAAAGGAAUUGGCGGGGGAGCACAACAACGGGUGGAGCCUGCGGUUUAAUUGGACUCAACGCCGGGAAGCUCACCGGAUAAGACAGCGGAAUGAUUGCCGGGCUGAAGACUCUGCAUGACUAGCUGAGAGGAGGUGCAUGGCGUAGACGU